rnacentral:rRNA from 1 species
AUGACUGCACCGAAACAAGACACCAUUCUUGCUUUUCAAGUUGGACAUUUGGAAGGCCUUCGAUUCGGUGCGAUGGGAAUAUAUCUUGGACCUGCUUUGUCGCUUGGGCUUUUCGGACCGCUUUCGGGAUUGGAUUGCUUCCCUUUUCUGCACCUCAUCGUCACGCGUCUUCUCAACGGUAUUGCCGGUCCCCCGAUCCUCCAUGGUUGUGGACUUAGGCAAGGAGACCCUCUCUCUCCCCUGCUUUUCGUCAUCACAAUCGACUCGCUGCAGCAGAUCCUCGAUGUCGCGACGAACCACAACCUCCUACACAAGCUUCGAGGGAGGGGAUCACAUGUUUGUACCUCCCUCUAUGCUGAUGAUGCAGCGAUUUUCAUCUCGCCGACGCGGGAGGACGUCCAUAACCUUGCUGCCCUCCCUAGAUCUUUCGGCGAGGUCAACGGGUUGUCAACCAAUUUUCAAAAGAGCUCUGUAGUUGCUAUUCAGUGCGGUCACAUGAACCUGGAUGACAUUCUGGGCAGCCUUCCUGCUAUGCGGAUGUCCUUUUCGAUGAAGUACCUGGGCCUUCCACUUUCGAUCUGGCAGCUCAAAAGGGUUGACUUUCAACACAUUGAGGAUAAGGUUGCGGCAAGGUUGCCCCCCUGGCAGGAGUGGAACAUUACCACGAUCGGGCGGGCGGCCUUGGUGAAAUCAGUCCUCACCUCACAAGUUAUGUACCACAUCCCCCCUGGUGUGCUGCAAAGUAUCAACAAGAUUGAGCGGGCAUAUCUGUGGUCAGCUAGCGACACAACUACAGGAGCAAAAUGCAAGGUCAAAGUUCUGAGGCUGAGAUGGCCCUGGGUGGCAUGGAAGGACCCGUCUAAGUUGUGGGUUGGUCUGGGCAACCCAUGCUCCGAGGUGGAUAUGAAUCUUUUCUACGCAUCCACAGUCAUCACCUUGGGUAACAAAGGGAAGCCACCUUUCAGGGAAGCGCCCUGUGGGAUCAUCAACCUUGCCACCGGCCGAGAAGACCAUCCCCUCCAUAUUUUCUGUUUACCAUCCUCCCCCGACCCUGUAUUGCCAAAGGAGCAAUAUGGGCCACUGGUUUCUAGACCUGAUUCUGCCGUGGUCAUCCCUUUCUCUUAUUCGAGACAUUGUUCUUUCUCGGAAAGAUUACUUCAGUCCCCUUUCUCUAUUGCGUGCUCGACGAACAAGAUUCCAUGCUGCUCUUUUGUGCUUCCUGUUUCUCCUUCGUCAUGCUGUCACCAGAACUUUGCUUUCUUCCGAUCCUCCGACGCCCUAAAAGUAGGCUUGAGCGGUAGGUCACCGUCCUCGUCUCUCAUUCCCAGUGUAGGGCGGAAGAGGUCAGAGUGCCCUAGCCGGCCGCAAGAGAAGCAAAAGUGUGGAACCUAUUCAUACCCAAUCGUUGUACCAAUCCACCUUCUUCCUCUUCGCUGA